rnacentral:rRNA from 1 species
CCCUUAGAUGUCCUGGGCUGCACGCGCGCUACACUGAUGUGUCCAGUAAGCACCUAACCUCUUCCGAAAGGAACGGGUAACCUUUGCAAAGCACAUCGUGAUGGGGAUAGAUUAUUGCAAUUAUUAGUCUUGAACGAGGAAUUCCUAGUAAGCACAAGUCAUCAGCUUGUGUUGAUUACGUCCCUGCCCUUUGUACACACCGCCCGUCGCCCCUACCGAUUGAGUGGUCCGGUGAGGCUUUGGGAUCUGAGCGGAAAGAGCGUUUCGCUGUUUCUGCUCGGAAAACUCAGUCGAACCUUAUCAUUUAGAGGAAGGAGAAGUCGUAACA